rnacentral:rRNA from 1 species
AGAGCUUGCUCUUAUGAAGUUAGCGGCGGACGGGUGAGUAACACGUGGGUAACCUGCCCAUAAGACUGGGAUAACUCCGGGAAACCGGGGCUAAUACCGGAUAACAUUUUGAACCGCAUGGUUCAAAAUUAAAAGGCGGCUUCGGCUGUCACUUAUGGAUGGACCCGCGUCGCAUUAGCUAGUUGGUGAGGUAACGGCUCACCAAGGCAACGAUGCGUAGCCGACCUGAGAGGGUGAUCGGCCACACUGGGACUGAGACACGGCCCAGACUCCUACGGGAGGCAGCAGUAGGGAAUCUUCCGCAAUGGACGAAAGUCUGACGGAGCAACGCCGCGUGAGUGAUGAAGGCUUUCGGGUCGUAAAACUCUGUUGUUAGGGAAGAACAAGUGCUAGUUGAAUAAGCUGGCACCUUGACGGUACCUAACCAGAAAGCCACGGCUAACUACGUGCCAGCAGCCGCGGUAAUACGUAGGUGGCAAGCGUUAUCCGGAAUUAUUGGGCGUAAAGCGCGCGCAGGUGGUUUCUUAAGUCUGAUGUGAAAGCCCACGGCUCAACCGUGGAGGGUCAUUGGAAACUGGGAGACUUGAGUGCAGAAGAGGAAAGUGGAAUUCCAUGUGUAGCGGUGAAAUGCGUAGAGAUAUGGAGGAACACCAGUGGCGAAGGCGACUCUCUGGUCUGUAACUGACACUGAGGCGCGAAAGCGUGGGGAGCAAACAGGAUUAGAUACCCCUGGUAGUCCACGCCGUAAACGAUGAGUGCUAAGUGUUAGGGGGUUUCCGCCCCUUAGAAUGCUGCAGUUAACGCAUUAAGCACUCCGCCUUAGGGGAGUACGGCCGCAAGGCUGAAACUCAAAGGAAUUGACGGGGGCCCGCACAAGCGGUCUGGAGCAUGUGGUUUAAUUCGAAGCAACGCGAAGAACCUUACCAGGUCUUGACAUCCUCUGACAACCCUAGAGAUAGGGCUUCUCCUUCGGGAGCAGAGUGACAGGUGGGUGCAUGGUUGUCGUCAGCUCGUGUCGUUGGAGAUGUUGGGUUAAGUCCCGCAACGAGCGCAACCCUUGAUCUUAGUUGCCAUCAUUAAGUUGGGCACUCUAAGGUGACUGCCGGUGACAAACCGGAGGAAGGUGGGGAUGACGUCAAAUCAUCAUGCCCCUUAUGACCUGGGCUACACACGUGCUACAAUGGACGGUACAAAGAGCUGCAAGACCGCGAGGUGGAGCUAAUCUCAUAAAACCGUUCUCAGUUCGGAUUGUAGGCUGCAACUCGCCUACAUGAAGCUGGAAUCGCUAGUAAUCGCGGAUCAGCAUGCCGCGGUGAAUACGUUCCCGGGCCUUGUACACACCGCCCGUCACACCACGAGAGUUUGUAACACCC